AGCAAUCACAAGCAUCCAUCGCAAUACAUCAGGGUCUAAGAAACAGAGACUGUGCCCGGCGGUUGUCGAGGAGAGAGAUGCAGGCUGGGUACUCCUUCUGGGCUGUAUGUUUACCUGUCACAAUGCCCUACGCCCCUGAGAGACGUAGCCUACAGAGAACCCAAGUCAUUCUCCAAAGGGCUGCAGCCACUUUGGAGGGGAAGCACCUAAUCGGAGUCUCUGGAGUGUCUGUAUUACAAGUUCAGUUCUGAAGCUGCUGACUUUUAGUGAAGUAUGUGGAUGCCAAAUGACUUCUAAAAGUCUUUGGGAGAUACUAUCAGAUGAAUUAAUAAUUUUCGCUCAUAAUGUUAACAUGGGAAGGCCGUGAAUUCAGAUAUUCUUUCAGGAAAAGCACCACCUGCUUCAUGAGUAAUUGAAUUUAAAUCUCCACCUUCAAUAACUCCACAGCUUAUGUCAAACCUUGGAAACAAUUACGAAAUAAAUCACUAGGAAGGUCUGCUUAAUCUCAUCAGGUUAAUAAACGCAGACAAAUUAAUCACUUGAA